ACUCCUACGGGAGGCAGCAGUAGGGAAUUUUUCGCAAUGGGCGCAAGCCUGACGAAGCAAUGCCGCGUGAGGGAUGAAGGUUUUCGGAUUGUAAACCUCUGUUAUAAGGGAAGAAAACCUAGUAUAGGAAAUGAUACUAAGCUUGACGGUACCUUAUCAGAAAGGGACGGCUAACUACGUGCCAGCAGCCGCGGUAAUACGUAGGUCCCGAGCGUUAUCCGGAAAUUAUUGGGCGUAAAGAGCAUGUAGGCGGUCUGUUAAGUCAGAUGUGAAAGCCCGGGGCUUAACCUCGGGAAUUGCAUUUGAAACUGGCAGGCUAGAGUCUUGUAGAGGGGGGUAGAAUUUCAGGUGUAGCGGUGAAAUGCGUAGAGAUCUGAAGGAAUACCAGUGGCGAAGGCGGCCCCCUGGACAAAGACUGACGCUCAGAUGCGAAA
rnacentral:rRNA from 1 species